GUAGUCCACGCCGUAAACGAUGAAUACUAGGUGUAGGGGUUGUCAUGACCUCUGUGCCGCCGCUAACGCAUUAAGUAUUCCGCCUGGGGAGUACGGUCGCAAGAUUAAAACUCAAAGGAAUUGACGGGGGCCCGCACAAGCAGCGGAGCAUGUGGUUUAAUUCGAAGCAACGCGAAGAACCUUACCUAGACUUGACAUCUCCUGCAUUACUCUUAAUCGAGGAAAGUCCCUUCGGGGACAGGAAGACAGGUGGUGCAUGGUUGUCGUCAGCUCGUGUCGUGAGAUGUUGGGUUGAAGUCCCCGCAACGAGCGCAACCUUAUUGUUAGUUGCUACCAUUUAGUUGAGCACUCUAGCGAGACUGCCCAGGGGUUAACCGGGAGGAAGGUGGGGAUGACGUCAAAUCAUCAUGCCCCUUAUGUCUAGGGCUACACACGUGCUACAAUGGCUGGUACAGAGAGAUGCGAAACCGCGAGGUGGAGCUAAACUUCAAAAUCCAGUCUCAGUUCGGAUUGUAGGCUGAAACUCGCCUACAUGAAGCUGGAGUUGCUAGUAAUCGCGAAUCAGCAUGUCG
rnacentral:rRNA from 1 species